AAGCCUUUGGUCAUUUUCUAAUUAUGUGAUUAGAUUCUGAUAAGACUAUGACAUCUUGGUUCUUUACAACUAGAGAUGAAAUUUUCUUUAAUUUGCAGGUAGAUAAUAGCAUAGCGUAUAGUGACUAUCUUAAGAUAAAGUUUGAUCUAUGGAAGACAGGUUUUCCAGUUUGGUUGUAUUCCCACUAUUUGAACACUUAGUGUAGCAUGGGCACUGUCCUAAGCACUGCUUCUUGCUCUUCGUUAUGGACCAGCCAAAGUUAGAGAACACUAUAUUACCAGCCCCAUGGUAUAGUAGUACUCUUUCCUACGUCUUGGCAGCACUAGAUGCGUGAGAUCCUCAGUGCCCAUCACUGUAAUCUCUGCAUCAUGCUGUGCCCUGUGCCUGACACCCACAGUGCGGUCAGACCAGUGUUUUAGCCUCGUGCUCUUUGUACCACACUUCUGUGGCUUCUUCCCUUCCUCCUGUUUCCGUCUGCUCGUUGGCAGAUGUCAGAACACACUGGUCACACCCUUACUGUUAGAAGUUUCAGUCGCCAGGCAACCCAACUGUGCUUUUAAAGAUGUUGCAUCUCCAGGUGUUCUGGUGCCAGCCGCCUUUUUCAGUUGUCUUCUAAAUUGGAGACCAUUACUGACCAUUCCUGCCUCAUCUUUAAAUCAAGAGGAAGGAUUGAGGUCAUAGCCCUCUGCCGUCUAGUGAAUAUUUGUACAGAUUAGGACAGAUGAAUAUGGAUGUGUUUUUGUGAGUGAAAGUUUGGUACACUUUCCCUGACAUAAGUGACAUACUUGGGCCAACUGGUUUUCAGUUCUUUGGCAAGUCUCACUUGAGUUCUGUGGGAGUGAUAACCACCUCUUUAUUUUCAUACCUCUGGUAACUGAGCUUUCCGAUCAGAAAACUGAACAAUUCUCAGCUUCCUGUUUCAUAUUCUCCACUGAAGAAGUGGCUGAAGCACUGGGUCAGGGACCAGCUUGGGUUUGGGGGCUAGUGUUCUAGUCUGUCUGUCUGUCUGGCCUUACAGCCUGGGGCUCAGAUAACUGCCUGGAGUGUUCUCUCCCUUGUAAAAUACCCAUCUCAUCCAGACUUGGCUCCCCAAGAGUGUGGUGGCAGAGAUAGACACUAGAUUUCCCCCCCUCCCCCCCGCCGCCCCCCCCCCCCCGUUUGAGGAAUGAUAUGUGUGGCUUUUGUUCAGAUGCAUGCAUAUAACAGAAACUUGGAAAACAGGCCCAUAAAGGGAGAAUGAAGAGGUGGGCCAGCCUUGAAGAGUCUGCAGCCUUUGGCUAGGAUGUUCAAAGUAGCGGGCAGAGUUGCUCAGAGCUGUUUCGUUGGGUUUUCUGAUUGAAUCCAUAUCUGCUGACACCUAAUUCAGUUUUGAAUUCAUCCUGUGGGGAUUAUUGUAUGACAGAUGCUGUGUAAAUUAUCCCUGUGGCAUGCUUUGCUCUUCUGGUAUCUCUGAUUUAAAGACUAGUCUAGGCCAAUACAACUAAGAAUGAUCUGGGGAUGAUUCUAGAGGGAAGUGGAAAAGGAUUCAGGCUCCCUCCACUGUGGCAUGCUGCAGAGCAAGGCAUCGGAGAGCAGAUCUUCCAGGCCACCCAGGAUGGACGUAUGCAUCUAAUGGACUGAGCUGGUGAGAACCAUCCAUACCAGGGUGUGGUUUGCUUGUUACCUUGUAAUUUAGGUGGCCCUGAGGGCUGCAUUGUGCAGGUGGUUCUUAAAGAGGUACAAGUCAGAGAGGUUUAUGGUAGAGGCAGAGGUUUCCAUGGUGAGGAUUUUGGUUUUUGUUUAGGUUUGGGGUUUUUGAGACAGAAUGAAUUCAUAACCCUGUUUAUUCUGGAACUUAGUUUAUAGUCAAGGCUCAGAGAUAGUAUAUAGAUAGACCUCAGACUUGGAGAUCCAACCUUCUCUGCUUCUGAAGUGCUGGCAUUUUUUGUACAAGGUGAACAAUAACUUCCUAAUUUGAAUCUUCCACAGAUGUCAAUUUGGACAUGCUAGUUUGCUGACUAGGCUACCAGUUUUUCUGCUGGUAUUUUGCCGUUGUCAGGAAUUAGAUGGCCAUACAUAGCUUUGUUGGGUCUACUUCUAGGUCUUUCCUAUAGACAGACAGACAGACAGACAGAGGGAAGAAUGCCUGUAGCCUAGAAACCAGAGAGGAGAAGGAAGCCCAUCUCCUAAAGCUUGCUGAAGGAAUGCAGGUCCACCGACAGUCUGUCAGGACCUCCAGUAAUAAGCGUGUGCUUGAUCUGCCUGCAGCAAUAGCAGACUACACAAUGCAUGACAUGCUUCUGUAGAAGUGGUUGGUCACUGUGACAGCCCCGGCUAGUUACCUCUCCCUGAGAAGCCAACCUCUCAUAACCACGUGCUCAGAGGUCUGCUUCAAAUCCUGCACCACUACAGCAUAGAGCAUGCUCCUUCAUUUCCUGUUAUGUUGCUCACUGGCCACAUAACAUAACCUGACAUUACUUUAAGAGUGUCCUUUACUGUGUAACUUAAAUAUUCAUUCAUCGCGUGUGUGUGUGUGUGUGUGUGUGUGUGUGUGUGUGUGUGUGUGUGUGUGUAUUCCAAAGUGUGCAUAUGGCAGUCAGAGGACAACCUAUGAAAGUGGGUUACAGGGAUUGAACUCAGACAUCAGACUUGACAGCAAAGUGCCUUUACCUGCUGAGCCAUCUCUCCAGCCCCAAAAAGCCUCUGUUUUGAUUUCCACGUGAGAUCAGGGGCUUAGCACAACUCACUUUUCCCUAGCACAGAGUGAGGACCCAUUAAGUCAUCGUUGAAAGAGGGAAAGGAAGGAAGCAGCAUGCUCUCGUAAGGAUCUUCCCUCUUAAGGGCUUCCUAAGUGAUGUUCCCACUUUACCUGUGUCCUUACAGUAUAGUUCAUAUACUUUAACCCCUAAAAUCUUUCACUAUAAAGAUGAUACUGCUUCAAUUGUGGGCUUCUUCAAACACUGCAGAUUCUCAGCAACACCUUGGUGUUCAUUUGACACAAUAUAUGACC
rnacentral:lncRNA from 1 species